AGACCCGAAACCCGGUGAUCUAGCCAUGGGCAGGUUGAAGGUUGGGUAACACUAACUGGAGGACCGAACCGACUAAUGUUGAAAAAUUAGCGGAUGACCUGUGGCUGGGGGUGAAAGGCCAAUCAAACCGGGAGAUAGCUGGUUCUCCCCGAAAGCUAUUUAGGUAGCGCCUCGUGAAUUCAUCUCCGGGGGUAGAGCACUGUUUCGGCUAGGGGGCCAUCCCGGCUUACCAACCCGAUGCAAACUGCGAAUACCGGAGAAUGUUAUCACGGGAGACACACGGCGGGUGCUAACGUCCGUCGUGAAGAGGGAAACAACCCAGACCGCCAGCUAAGGUCCCAAAGUCAUGGUUAAGUGGGAAACGAUGUGGGAAGGCCCAGACAGCCAGGAUGUUGGCUUAGAAGCAGCCAUCAUUUAAAGAAAGCGUAAUAGCUCACUGGUCGAGUCGGCCUGCGCGGAAGAUGUAACGGGGCUAAACCAUGCACCGAAGCUGCGGCAGCGAACGUAUCACCCAAGACAACUUUACGGAGUUGGCGAUUGACGGAGCGAAGCGACGUCAAAGCGUUCAUUAAAGUCGAGUUGGCUUAGGGAUACGUUCGUUGGGUAGGGGAGCGUUCUGUAAGCCUGUGAAGGUGUGUCGUGAGGCAUGCUGGAGGUAUCAGAAGUGCGAAUGCUGACAUAAGUAACGAUAAAGCGGGUGAAAAGCCCGCUCGCCGGAAGACCAAGGGUUCCUGUCCAACGUUAAUCGGGGCAGGGUGAGUCGACCCCUAAGGCGAGGCCGAAAGGCGUAGUCGAUGGGAAACGGGUUAAUAUUCCCGUACUUGGUGUUACUGCGAAGGGGGGACGGAGAAGGCUAUGUUGGCCGGGCGACGGUUGUCCCGGUUUAAGCGUGUAGGUGUGUGUUCCAGGUAAAUCCGGUUCACUUUAACACUGAGGCGUGACGACGAGGCACUACGGUGCUGAAGCAACAAAUGCCCUGCUUCCAGGAAAA
rnacentral:rRNA from 2 species